GACGAACGCUGGCGGCGUGCUUAACACAUGCAAGUCGAACGGAAAGGCCCUGCUUUUGUGGGGUGCUCGAGUGGCGAACGGGUGAGUAACACGUGAGUAACCUGCCCUUGACUUUGGGAUAACUUCAGGAAACUGGGGCUAAUACCGGAUAGGAGCUCCUGCUGCAUGGUGGGGGUUGGAAAGUUUCGGCGGUUGGGGAUGGACUCGCGGCUUAUCAGCUUGGUGGUGGGGUAGUGGCUUACCAAGGCUUUGACGGGUAGCCGGCCUGAGAGGGUGAACGGCCACAAUGGGACUGAGAUACGGCCCAGACUGCAACGGGAGGCAGCAGUGGGGAAUAUUGCACAAUGGGCGGAAGCCUGAUGCAGCAACGCCGCGUGCGGGAUGACGGCCUUCGGGUUGUAAACCGCUUUCGCCUGUGACGAAGCGUGAGUGACGGUAAUGGGUAAAGAAGCACCGGCUAACUACGUG
rnacentral:rRNA from 1 species